rnacentral:rRNA from 1 species
GAACGCUGGCGGCGUGCUUAACACAUGCAAGUCGAACGGUGAAGGGAUCAGUUUUCUGGUUCUGGAUGAGUGGCGAACGGGUGAGUAGCACGUGAGUAACCUGCCCCCUUCUUCUGGAUAACCGCAUGAAAGUGUGGCUAAUACGGGAUAUUCUGCGCCUGCUGCAUGGUGGGUGUGGGAAAGAUAUUGUUUCGGUGGGGGAUGGGCUCGCGGCCUAUCAGCUUGUUGGUGGGGUGAUGGCCUACCAAGGCGGUGACGGGUAGCCGGCCUGAGAGGGUGGACGGUCACACUGGGACUGAGACACGGCCCAGACUCCUACGGGAGGCAGCAGUGGGGAAUAUUGCACAAUGGGCGCAAGCCUGAUGCAGCGACGCCGCGUGAGGGAUGGAGGCCUUCGGGUUGUGAACCUCUUUCGCCAGUGAAGCAGGCCUGUCCCUUGUGGGUGGGUUGACGGUAGCUGGAUAAGAAGCGCCGGCUAACUACGUGCCAGCAGCCGCGGUAAUACGUAGGGCGCGAGCGUUGUCCGGAAUUAUUGGGCGUAAAGAGCUCGUAGGCGGCUGGUCGCGUCUGUCGUGAAAUCCUCUGGCUUAACUGGGGGCUUGCGGUGGGUACGGGCCGGCUUGAGUGCGGUAGGGGAGACUGGAACUCCUGGUGUAGCGGUGGAAUGCGCAGAUAUCAGGAAGAACACCGGUGGCGAAGGCGGGUCUCUGGG